AAGAAAAAAGGUAAAACGAUGGAAGAAGAAUUGGUGGUACACACGUCACUUCCCAGUUUGGAACAAAAUUGGGUCUGGAACAAAAUUGAUGGAAGAAGAAAGAUGGGUCUUGUUCCUUUACCUGAGUGAAUUGGAGAGAGAGUUUUUUUCUCAGCAAGAUCUCAGCAAAUUGAUUCGAUUAGCGACGCAACAAAUUGUUCACUGUGUCUCUGCAAAUUGUUCUUUAGGUUAGAAAUAAAUGGGCUAUCCAUUUAUUUAAGAGAAAACCCAUUUAAUAAGUGGGCUUAACUGGGUUAACCCAUUUAACCAAUUAAAACAAUUUUUUAUAAAUGGGUCUAAAUGGGCUAUUUAUUUAACAACAUACCCAUUUAAUUAAAUGGGCAGUGAAACCCAUUUUAACAUCACUAUAAGUGAGUAAUGAUCCAGCCUAAUGAUCCAGUUUCACAAAGAUUUCAAAUUUUAGUCUGCAGCUUCAUCCCCUCUUAUAUAUAACCAAGAACAGAGGAGGAUGUGUGAU
rnacentral:sRNA from 1 species